AGAUGGUGAUGGGGUUCCCUCACCAUCUGCAGGUCAUCAUCCUUAAGGGCUCCACCAUCUGCAGUGUCUACAGUGGACUAUUUGCAUCUUCAGUGCAAAUACCUGAUUGUAUAUGGAUGGAUUGUAGGGUCUAACCACCUUGAUUUGAUUCGGGCUGGAGCAGCAGCAGCAGGUCCUUCCUUCCAUGGAGGGCAUCCACAACAUGACCCGCACAAGGAGCUCCAAGCAGACAAAGCACAGGUUUCUUUGUUUGUAAAUUAAGCAGUCUGGUAGAUUUGGAAAGGAGGAACAGGGUACUGAACUUUUAUAUAUCUGCACAAGGAAUACUAUGUUAUGUAAGAACAUGGCGGUGCAGUCACCCGAGGUGAAGAAGCUCUGUCACCUACCUCUACAUCCUCCACUAGGCUGACAAGCACAACUGCUAACAAGUAUGCUAAUCCACCCUCAUCUGCAUCGCUUCCUCCUAGCCUGUGAUUUAUGACAUGGAGCAUGUUGUUCUGUUAUCAUAUACACGAAUCUGUCCAUGCUUAAAUGUGGUCAUAGGUUGUGGAAUAGGAGAAACAAUAUAAUGUUCUUUAGCAGAUGCAAACCUGUCCAUGCCUUAUUUGGACCAAUAAUUACUGGUGUUGCCUAUUUGAUAUGUAAACAUAUUUUUUUGGAUGUCACAGAAAAAUGCCAUGCUACUACAUAAGUUUGAAUCAAACAAAUUAAAUUUGUAAUAAGAUCCCUGAAAGUAAUUAAGUGCUUCUUGAAUGCAUGGAAACAACAAGUUAGAUAUCUCAGAGGUACUAUGUCAUAUAUUCUGAAAGUGGCGCACAUGGAUAUGUAUUCUUGGUUAGCUUUAUGUUCCAUUUCUGUUGUACAUGCUCCAAGAGUUAAUGUGUUAUUCUGAAAGGAUAUGAAGUGAAUUGUCUUCUACUGCAAUCAAUGGGCAUUUCGUUCUACACAUAUGUCCUGAUGUUGUAGUGCCACUUGAUUUCCUUUAAAAUUUCAGUAACAAUUGAGCAAUAUUGGCCUUCCCUUUUUCCUGUAUUAAGUACUAUUCAUGGAGUCAAAGCUCAUGGAGAUGGUCUGUUACUGAUUGCUGCAUCUAUAGAGCUCACUAAUAAAAUAUCUGCUGGUUCAUCUAACUUAUUUGAUCUAUAUGUUUUUGUUUACCUGCAACACGAAGAGAAAAACAUGCUCAAUUAGUUCAUAAAUUUUAAAAUUGUGCAUUUUGUAUAAUUUCUGCUGGUUCCAGUCACAGCAUGCCAGCAUCUAAUCCUUGCAGCAACACCAGGACUAGACUUUGGAUAUUUUUCUAUACAUUUGACAUUAAAGUUAUACCAACUUGCAUCCAUCGAUCACUAGCUAUUACAUGCAGUAGGUAAUUAUCUGAUGUCAAUGCAACAUCCAAAUCAUUGAAAUACGACCUCUUAUUCUACACAGUUCUUUAUGCUUUGACAAAUCACAAAGUAGAAAUCGAUUUUAAGAUAAUCUAUAAUUAUAAUAAGACCAGGGAUUGCUUUUCUGAAAGAAAAACAAGGGAUUGUUAAUAUGUUUAAAUAUGAAGAUUUGCAGUACUGUAGGUCCUUACCUCUUCUUUUCCAAAGUAGAUAGGACAAAAAAAAAUAUGUCCCCACUAAUCGGUAC